GUGCCAGCAGCCGCGGUAAUACGGAGGGUGCAAGCGUUAAUCGGAAUUACUGGGCGUAAAGCGUGCGUAGGCGGUCCGCUAAGUCAGAUGUGAAAGCCCCGGGCUUAACCUGGGAACUGCAUUUGAAACUGGCGAACUAGAGUUGAGUAGAGGAAAGUGGAAUUUCAGGUGUAGCGGUGAAAUGCGUAGAUAUCUGAAGGAACACCAGUGGCGAAGGCGACUUUCUGGACUCAAACUGACGCUGAGGUACGAAAGCGUGGGUAGCAAACAGGAUUAGAAACCCCCGUAGUCC
rnacentral:rRNA from 1 species